rnacentral:rRNA from 1 species
GAUGAACGCUGGCGGCGUGCCUAAUACAUGCAAGUCGAGCGAACGGACGAGAAGCUUGCUUCUCUGAUGUUAGCGGCGGACGGGUGAGUAACACGUGGAUAACCUACCUAUAAGACUGGGAUAACUUCGGGAAACCGUAGCUAAUACCGGAUAAUAUUUUGAACCGCAUGGUUCAAAAGUGAAAGACGGUCUUGCUGUCACUUAUAGAUGGAUCCGCGCUGCAUUAGCUAGUUGGUAAGGUAACGGCUUACCAAGGCAACGAUGCAUAGCCGACCUGAGAGGGGGAUCGGCCAAGCUGGAACUGAGACACGGUCUAGACUCCUACGGGAGGCAGCAGUAGGGAAUCUUCCGCAAAGGGCGAAAGCCUGACGGAGCAACGCCGCGUGAGUGAUGAAGGUCUUCGGAUCGUAAAACUCUGUUAUUAGGGAAGAACAUAUGUGUAAGUAACUGUGCACAUCUUGACGGUACCUAAUCAGAAAGCCACGGCUAACUACGUG